AGGACGAACGCUGGCGGCGUGCUUAACACAUGCAAGUCGAGCGGUAAGGCCUUUCGGGGUACACGAGCGGCGAACGGGUGAGUAACACGUGGGUGAUCUGCCCUGCACUUCGGGAUAAGCCUGGGAAACUGGGUCUAAUACCGGAUAUGACCUCCUAUCGCAUGGUGGGUGGUGGAAAGAUUUAUCGGUGCAGGAUGGGCCCGCGGCCUAUCAGCUUGUUGGUGGGUAAUGGCCUACAAGGCGACGACGGGUAGCCGACCUGAGAGGGUGACCGGCCACACUGGGACUGAGACGACGGCCCAGACUCCGUACGGGAGGCAGCAGGUGGGGAAUAGUGCACAAGUGGGACGUAAAGCCUAGAGUACGACGAAGGCCGGAACCGGCCCGGU
rnacentral:rRNA from 1 species